UACGAAGGGGGCUAGCGUUGCUCGGAAUCACUGGGCUUAAAGGGCGCGUAGGCGGGCUGCCAAGUCUGGGGUGAAAUCCCACGGCUCAACCGUGGAACUGCCUCAGAUACUGGCGGCCUCGAGGGAGGUAGGGGCAUGCGGAACUAUGCGUGGAGCGGUGAAAUGCGUUGAUAUGCAUAGGAACUCCGGUGGCGAAAGCGGCGUGCUGGACCUCUUCUGACGCUGAGGCGCGAAAGCCAGGGGAGCAAACGGG
rnacentral:rRNA from 1 species